AAUGAACGUUGGCGGCAUGGAUUAGGCAUGCAAGUCGAGCGAGAAGGAAAUCAAAGUUUACUUUGGUUUCCGGAAAGCGGCGAAAGGGAGAGUAACGCGUAGUUAUCUACCCCAAGGCCCGGAAUAGCUGCGGGAAACUGCAGGUAAUGCCGGAUAAUAUCCCCGGAUCAAAGGUGUGAUUCCGCCUUGGGAGGAGACUGCGUUGUACUAGCUUGUUGGUAGGGUAAUGGCCUACCAAGGCUACGAUGCAUAGCGGGCGUGAGAGCGUGGCCCGUCUCACUGGGACUGAAACACUGCCCAGACACCUACGGGUGGCUGCAGUCGAGAAUCUUCGGCAAUGGGCGAAAGCCUGACCGAGCGAUGCCGCGUGCGGGAUGAAGGCCCUCGGGUUGUAAACCGCUGUCGUAGGGGAGAAAGGACCGUUGAAGAGACGGUUUUGAUCUAUCCUAGGAGGAAGUCCGGGCUAAGUUCGUG
rnacentral:rRNA from 1 species